rnacentral:rRNA from 1 species
GAUGAACGCUAGCGGCAAGCUUAAUACAUGCAAGUCGUGGGGCAGCAUGAAGUAGCAAUACUUUGAUGGCGACCGGCAAACGGGUGCGGAACACGUACACAACCUUCCGAUAAGUGGGGAAUAGCCCAGAGAAAUUUGGAUUAAUACCCCGUAACAUUGCGAUGUGGCAUCACAUUGCAAUUAUAGCUUCGGCGCUUAUUGAUGGGUGUGCGUAUGAUUAGAUAGUUGGCGGGGUAACGGCCCACCAAGUCUACGAUCAUUAGCUGAUGUGAGAGCAUGAUCAGCCACACGGGCACUGAGACACGGGCCCGACUCCUACGGGAGGCAGCAGUAAGGAAUAUUGGUCAAUGGACGAAAGUCUGAACCAGCUAUGCCGCGUGAAGGAUUAAGGUCCUCUGGAUUGUAAACUUCUUUUAUAUGGGACGAAAAAGGUCUUUCUAGAUCACUUGACGGUACCAUAUGAAUAAGCACCGGCU